rnacentral:lncRNA from 1 species
UCUAAGAACAACCAAGCCUCUUGAUGGAACUAUAUUAGUAGGGAGUAUUAACUGAAGUAACUGGAGCUUUAUUGGAUGAUAGAACAAGAAUAGGAUGGCGACAUAUAUUUUUUUGGUGUUCACUCCCAAUGUAGGAGGAGAACAUUUUCUGAGUGUAUGCAUGUGAAUAGAGGAAUGCAUACUCCCAGGGUGGGAGCAGCAUAGGUGCGUGUUUCUAGGCUAGAAACAACACACGAUGCAUGUAGUAUGUAUAUAUAUGGGUG